rnacentral:lncRNA from 1 species
GGUUCGAAGGUCCCUCCAAUGGGCAGGAAACCCCCAAGGAAUAGAAGAAGAUACAAAAAAGAACUGGUUCUUCCAUCCAUGAAUGGAUGAUGGAAGACCGAUGAUAAAAGAAAGCUCCUUCCGAAGAUUAAAGUACCAUCACCCUCGGGCUUUAGGGUGGGGUCGGAGGACGAAGAAGGCUCGGAAGAGGAAAAUCUGAGG